rfam:Schistosoma margrebowiei strain Zambia genome assembly, scaffold: SMRZ_scaffold0006229
AUCCAGCUGACGUGUCCCAAAUAGGACGAAACACAUGUGCUGGAU